rnacentral:rRNA from 1 species
GACGAACGCUGGCGGCGUGCUUAACACAUGCAAGUCGAACGGUAAGGCCCUUCGGGGUACACGAGUGGCGAACGGGUGAGUAACACGUGGGUGAUCUGCCCCGCACUUCGGGAUAAGCCUGGGAAACUGGGUCUAAUACCGGAUAGGACCCUGGGAUGCAUGUCCUGGGGUGGAAAGCUUUUGCGGUGUGGGAUGGGCCCGCGGCCUAUCAGCUUGUUGGUGGGGUGUUGGCCUACCAAGGCGACGACGGGUAGCCGGCCUGAGAGGGUGACCGGCCACACUGGGACUGAGAUACGGCCCAGACUCCUACGGGAGGCAGCAGUGGGGAAUAUUGCACAAUGGGCGCAAGCCUGAUGCAGCGACGCCGCGUGAGGGAUGACGGCCUUCGGGUUGUAACCUCUUUCAGCACCGACGAAGCGCAAGUGACGGUAGGUGCAGAAGAAGGACCGGCCAACUACGUGCCAGCAGCCGCCGUAA